rnacentral:lncRNA from 1 species
ACCCCGCUGCAGGGUCAGCGGCACGGAGCAGGGGCACCCAGCAGGGCCCUAAAACUGGACCCGGAGUGGGUCGGUGCCUCCCGUGCCCUAAUUUGGGCUGGGCACAGCACAAAGAUGCUGAGGGGGUGCAAAAGCAUUCCCCCCCCCAAAUAGGACUGGGGGCCUGGACCCCUGCAAAAUCCCCCCGUGUGGACCACCUUGGCGCCCGCCCCAAAAGAGCCCCCAUCAGGAAAAGGCCAGAAAGAGCUGACGGUGGCAGCCACUUCCCAAAAUUGGAGGCAGGGACAAACCCCUAAACGGGGAAGUGAUGUGGAUUUGGGCUCCUUACCCCCCGCUGCAGAUAAAUAGCUCGCCCCUGGCCGUGCAGGACAGGCGGCGGCGUGGAGGCACAGCCGGGUGCCCGCCGGAGGACACGGGGACCACCGGGGGACACGGGGACCACCGGGGGACACGGACCCUCACUGUCACACCGAGGUAAUGCUGCUGCCCCCGGGGCACGGAGGGGCUGGGAAGGGGACCCUGGGGGCCGAGGUUUGCCAUGGGGGUGCUGUAGGAUCGGUGCCGGGGGUGCCGGGCAGUUUCCCCAUUCCCCUCCUGGUGCCCAGCCCCACGGGUGAGCUCCAGCAGCGCCCCAAGGAGCUGGCAUCUGCCUGGCACUGCCCCUGUGGGGAUUUUGGAGGUUGUCCUGCAGAGAUGGGUGCGGGUGGGUGCAGAGGGGAUGGUUACAGCUCCUUCCCCGGGGCACUCACCCCAUUUUCCCUUCUCCCAUCCAGGCACCGUCCUGUCGGUGUCGGGGUGGCGACGCUCAGCCCCUGCUGCUCCAUCCCACACACUCAGCUUAUCAAUUCCUGCUGAACCCAGCCAAAAUUCGGGGGCUGCUGCGCAACGACCCGACACCUCCUGCCCUCUGCCGCCUGCCCCAUGGCUGUGGCCACGUCCCCCCUGCAGUGGCUCGUCCUCAUGGCCAGCCUUGUGCCCCCAGGUAAGGUGCCACCGCACCAGCCCACGGAGCAGUGGGACAGCCAGGGCAUGGAGAAAGGACUUGGAGACGGGGAGAGGGGCAAGAAAACGAGCUCCCAAAGGGCUCAGAGGGCAAAUUUCCCCUUUUCUUCCCGGUGAUUUAGGGCCUUUGCCCUUUGAGUCCAGCUGGUGCCUUUUGCCUGCUGGAAGCCCCGCUGGGAGCAUCGCCCCCGGCCGGACCCUUCCCCAUUUAUCUCCACCUCCACGCUUUUUCCUGGAGGGUUCAGCUCUCCUCUCCCAAACCCCACUGUGGCCCUGGCUGGAUGGGGUCAGGAGCAGUGGCACGGGGCUCGUGGGGUGGCACAGGGGGGCCGGGCACCAGCGGCCACCCCUUAUCACCCACCCCUUGCCUUCCCUCCGCCAGCCCACGGCUC